UGCCCACCUCUGCCUCCCAAAGUGCUGGGAUUACAGGUGUGAGCCACCGCACCCAGUCAGCUCACUUAAUUUUCAUGGAAUACAGUGGGCAUUAUGAUCCCAAUUUUACAAGUGAGAAAACUGAGAAGGAGAGAGGUCCCCAAAGUUGCCUAAAGUCACACAGUAAGUGGUAGAGUCAGGAUUCCAGCUGAAGUCUGCUUCCAAAUCCCACCUUCUAACCGCUGCCACUAGACUGCUGUGUCUGCUGGGGUGUUAGGUCACAGGAGAAAAGAGAUAAUGGCUUUGUGACCCGGGAGCUCCGCCUUCACCUCCUCCUGCCAUCCUCAGCAUGAGCCAGCUGCAUGAGGGGUGCUGUGUGCUGGGCUGGAGGAUGGAGCCAUGUGCCACUCCCUCCGAGGCACGCUGUGAAGGUGCAAGUGGUGUGUUCUGAGAGUGCGGAGGAUGAAAACUUCUCACCCAGCUUUCUACAUUCAAGUUUACAAGUGCUGCUCAGGACCCACUGAUUAUUUCCAGGGGAAGAUCACCAAACCGCCUAAGGCCGAGACUCCCAGGAUAGCGCAGCAUGCCCCGGAGUCCCCCAGCUCGAUUUGCUCAGAACUCAGAAAGAAAACAGCCCACACUCCUUGAACUUCAGGCACUGAUGGAGGCAUUUUCCAAAGAACAGUGACAAGGACGGCCAGCACCUCUCUUGCAUUCCUCAGUCUGACUCAAGCUGCUCUUCCACCCUCCUCCCCAGCUGGAGCUGAGGCUGAAGGCAGUUGAGGGCCACCAGGGAGAAGAGCUGGGUCAGGGCCGUGACUUGCCAGCAAGCAUGAGGCCAAGCAGAUGUGCCGGAACAGCUGUGGUGACAGAGCUGUGGCCAACUGCUCCCUGGGCCGAGGGUGAAGGAAGCUGUGCUCCCACUGGUGCUAGGGAAGGCUGCUGCAGGGCUGGAGGCCUGGGUGCUGGACUGCUGGGGCAGGCUGCCUGCUGUACCCCCAAGCUGCAGUCAGGGCUCGCCCUGAGGCCCUGAGGUGGAGAGAGAGCAGCUGUCUCGUACACACCCAUGUGCACAAGUGCAGGCACACACACACACACACACACACACACAAAAGACGUUCUCACUUCAUCCCCGAAUUCUCCCUCCUACACACAAAGCUAGUUCCCAGUUCUCCAGUCCCCCUCCAUCCCUCUCCACUUCUGUAGUCUCUGCUGGGCUGCACUGGGGAUCUGGUCCCAAUUCCCCUCUCUUCCCUUGCUGCCCCUGUAACAAAGGGCUGGCCAUGUGACAUGAUCUCCUCAGGCUUCAGAGAAGUGAUUUUACCCUGAGCUACACAGGCAGGAAGACCACCAGCCUGGAAGGGCCCUUCAGCCACUUUCCCAACAAACAGCAAAUCUCCGCCGAUUGAACUCUGACUGAGGCAAUGGGGGCAUGCCAGGCAACAAGGUGGAGGUUUGCUACCGUGGGAGCAGGGAGAGCGUGGAACACAGACGCUCUGGGUGUUGAAGAGGAGGCUUCACCCUUAAAUCCACACCAACAGCCCCCUUCACUUCCCCCGGUGAAGAACGAAGGACCCUGUGGGAUUUCUACUUCAAAUCUCUCAUUUAUUCCGACAUCCACUCGGUUAUGACUCCAAGUUAUCAAAGAUGCAAGACAAGAAGUCUAGAGCAGGAGUGGUGAAGUGGAGGCAGGACGUACGAAUGAUGUUAUUUCUGGCAAGGAGGACACGGCUGCUGUGGUUGAUUGGCUGUGGAAUUCCAGGGGAGCAAGGCACUAGGAAGUGGGGAACGCUGCCAGGCCCAGCAGCUCAUCAGGAGCUUGCACUUGGCCCAGUUAGGGCUGGCCGUGGGACGGGCUUGUUGAAGCUGCUGCCGCCAUAAGCUGCCCCUCUGCACCAGGAGACAGAUCCCAUUACCCCACCUACAGCUGCUUCCUGGUACAAGAGAAGAGUUACCAUUUGAAAUGACUCCACAGGAGAGUCUGACAAACAUGUUUGCUUUUCACUGACAAUUAAAAUUGUUUUGCUGCUAAUCUUGUUUUAUUGUGGUCUUUCAUCCAUCAGCAAGCAUCCCUGCACGCAAGAUCAGAGUUGGGUAAAUACAUCCAGACCCUGCCAGGAUUAGGGCAAGAGGGAGUGCUCUGGGCCGGCAGAUCUUUUUCGGAAAUUCUCACUUCUUGGAGCACUAAAGGGUUGUUAGUCUAUCUGGGCAAGCCUCGUUUCCCUGGAGAAAAUGGAGUCUCAGAGAUUAGUGACUGGUCCUAGAGCUAAUGAGUGACCAAAGUGUGACCAGAGCCCAGGUCUGCUUCUCAACCCAGGGCACUUUGAUUCCAGAUUGAGAUGUAAGGUGACAGGUGCCUUAAUAGUGGCGCAAAAGAUGUGCAUUCCCCUCUUCCUCCCUCCCCGCUCCCUGCUCCCCCAGCGGCACCCUGACCUUCCUCAAAUGCAGAAUCAAGAUUUCAGCAGGGGGGCCAGCCCUUUCCCUGCCCCACCCUCCUCGAAUUCAGUGACUCAGGAGUGGGAAGGGGGUUAGCUAUGCCCUUAGAAGGGGGCCAGCUUCUGCAGAGGCCACUGGAAAACUCAUCAGGAUUCUCACUCACAAAGCCACUGCCACAUUCUAAGUAGGAAGUCGGAGUUGGAAAUGAGGCUGGUGUGAGACACAAUAAAUGGCUCAUCGCCAGGAAACUGGGGAGUAGGGCGGCCAAGGGAGGGCGGCGAGCGUGGAAUCCCAAGGCUAAGUCACGUCCCUCCCAUCCUCAGGACUGGGCUGUUGCUCUGGUGAGAUGAAUGAAGAUCCUGCUCCACGGCGUCACAGGUGGAUGCUUACAUAGAAUGCCGGGCUCUGGGGGACUUGACGUGGUUUCAGCCGCUGCAGCAUCGCCCCACAGAGAUUCUGUGCUCUUCCUGUUCACCAGCCCGCUGUCUGCCAUGGGGAUUGGUCACGUGUUAACCACCUUUCGUUCAAGCUGUUUCGGGAUCAGACUUUUCCUUCUCUGGUACAUGGGAGACCUUUCCUCUCUGCAGCUCCUGAAUGUACAAAGCCCCUGGUGCCUACCCGUGGUUACUGUGUGUGUGUGUGUGUGUGUGUGUGUGUGUGUGUGUCUGUGCGCGCGCGCGCGCGUGCGUACACCUGGGAACGGUUAUGCACACCCUCACAGGACUGCAUCCACACAAGCUACUCGGCGUGGUGGGCUGGGCCGAGAGACAGUCAGCUGGUCUCUUUGCUAAGCUACCAGAAGUCGGCUAACAAAAUGAAAAAACUUCUCCAGCAGGGGGCGCUGGUUCCUAAGUCAGAGAAAGGAUUUCGGGGAACACAAGGUUAGACACUUUCUGGUGCAGUCCCCACAAGCCACCUUAGGCUUUAAAGUCAACUUGACACGUCCCACGAGGAAGGGGGCAGGUGAGAUGUGAUACGUUCAGGAAUCAACGACCCUACGGGAGCAGCUACAGUGACAGCAGUAGCUAUGGUAACCAACGUACAAAGCUGGGCUGUGAACUAGCUGUUGGAGUCGUUUCAGCAAGCGCGUCCUGAAGCAGUGCCGUUGACGCCCCGCCCCUCGCUUCUCCAAUGCUGGAAUUGUAGCUCUCACUUCUCUCCUUGCCCUCUGUCCCCUUUUCCUAGGCACGGAUGCUUCAUCUCCCGAGGACCCGGGAGGCCUCCUGAGCCUUUGCUGAGCUUUCCCUGGUGCUCCUUUUUGCAGUCCAGCGAAUCCAGGGGACUGGGGCACACUGCAAGGGGUUGUGGUGGUGCUGGGGCUGCCAGAGGAGUGUCCCAACCAAGAAACUGGCGAAGCUGCAGACUCGACCUAGCAGUCCCCCACCUCUGGCCCACAGAGUUGGAGCCAGGCCCUGUCUUGGUUCUCAAUGCACUCAAAAGCUUAAAUCCUAGUAAACCCUCCACUGCGGAGCGAGAAAA
rnacentral:lncRNA from 1 species